UACUAGAUGGGUUGUCCCUACCUCCUGAUCAUUUGUGACUAGUCCAGUGUUGUUAAAGGCAAGAAAAGGCGCCGGGCGAAGUGAGGCGAGCCCCUAACGCCUUGUCUGGCUGAGGCAAGUUCACUGCAAAGAGGCGAGCACCUAAGACUGGUCAGGUGAGGGCCAACAAGGCAAUGCCCGUGGCAAAUAACCUAAACUUUCUUUUUUUUUUAAUUUUUUUUAAAAAGCAUAAAAGUAAAAUAAACCCUAUCCUGUAAUCAUCGAAUUCCGCAACCAAAGAAGAGCAGAAAACGCCGCAAAGCAAAGAAACAGAGCAUUCCCAGGGCCUCUCUAACACUCCUUCAGUAUGACGUGCAAGAAUCACUCUCAGAGCAGUACCAUAUCCAGCUGUUGCAAGACUGAAAAAAACAAAACGCACCCAGAUUGGAGCUAUAAACACUUCCUCACAUUUUCUUUGCCAAUCAAGAAAGAUAUCCAUGUGGGACGGAAAAUAAUAUGAGGAAAACAAACACAAGAUGAUGAGAAACAUACCUACCAGUAUUGCAACGUGUCAGAAUAGAAAGCCUGUCAGAGUUUUUCAGUUGGUUCUGAAUAAAAAUUGCUCCAUGAGAACCAAUUACUUUGUUUGAAGCAACAUCAUCUUCAAGCAUAAUUUCAGCAGCUUCUAUGUAAGCCUAUCAGAUUGAUAAUGAAGGUGGCACAUCCAUAAAUUAGUAACAA